AAAAGGAAAUGUUUUGAUGACAUUUUAGCCCUUAUAUAACUAUGCAUUCGUAUUUGUCUUUGCUAUAGUUCAUUCUAAGAGUAAUAUUUUCAACAAUUAAGGGAAGCUCUUACAUACCAGCAUUAUACACUUAGAUAUGGAUAAAUUUCUGUAGUAAGUAGUGUGAGUCAUCUGUCAUGAACUGUACAAUAUAAAUGUUUUUGUCAGCAUUGUGGAUCAGCAUUUUUAUUGAUUUAUUUUUGCAAUAUUUGCAAAUUAUAGGGAUCUCUUGGGGAGCUCUUAAUUUUACUUCUCUAUGGAUGGCAAAAUGUGAAAGCAACAAGAGAGCAUUUUGGACGUUCUGAAAUAUUCAAGACCUGCCCUACAAAAAGAAAACUACAUUAAACAAAUUAGGCAUGUACAAGAAAAACUGGACAUUAACCACAAUGAAUCUAGAGAUAAUAUACUAAUUAUGCAAUAAUUCACUCUGUGGUGCUAACAGCGUUCCAUUUUGCAUUGGGCCUCAUCACACCACCUUAGAGUGGAAUGUUUUCAUAUAACAGCAUGGCUCAUCAUAUGAUAUUCAAUACACGUUAACUACCACCUUUCAUCCUUUGUCCCACCCACUGUGGCAAAACGUAAAGCACCUAUUUAAACUACUUAUCCCUGCCAUUUCCACUUAAUUCUAUAGUCUCAUCAAUCUGUACUGCUUUGUGCCCUUACUUUUUAUGUGUGUAACAUGCUAUGUACAGUGCUUCCUUGUCAUAUAUACAGCAGGUUUCUUGUUUUUACAUGUUAAGUCAUCUGUAGGCACAUGCUGCUGUAUUAAAUUUGAUUUUGACUGGAAGUAACUCCAUACUCAUUACUUAUGAUAAUUAAUUAAUGCAUGAAUUCUGAUAACGUUCAAUUAAUGAAAUAAUAGUACAUUUUGUAGCAAAAAUAACAAUGCAUGUUUUUGUCUAAGGGAAAAAAAAAUCACAAUCCCUUUUCACUAAAUGUUAGCGGAAAAAAAGGCUACAACAAAUCUGGUAGCAGACAUUCAGUUGGCUAUGGUGUAGAUUACACCAACUUGGGUGACCUCAAUGUUUAUGGGAAUAAACACACAUACCCCAUUAAGAAGCCCAUCUACGCGUCAACUGAUUUCAUAAAUGUAAAUAGAAAUAUCUUUAUCAUUGGACCUGCCAUAUUUUUUACAUGAGGAUAAUGAAUUUACAAAUUCAUGUGAUUUCAUUAUGUUAAAUAAUGGCUUGCUUUGAAUAAAAAAUAAAUAAAAAAAAGAUAAAUGCUUAUAUGGAAAUUUGGUCAGUUGGUAUGGAUGUAUGGAUGUAUUUAUGCAAUUACAUGCAAAUACAGUUGACUAGUAAUUGUAUUAAUAAUAGAAAUACCACUGUGUUUUCUUUUUUUUUUUUUUUGGCUGUGACCAUUAAAGUGUUAAAUAAAAAGUAUUAACGUA
ensembl:lncRNA